CAAACGUAGACAGAGAGACGUCUCACACCUCUGCUGCUCCGUCGGUGCGGCCGGCCUAGUGGUGGCGGUGGCGCGGCGCGGUUGGGAACAUGUCGGUCGGCCCGAGGGAGCGCGGCCGCCGUGUCGCUAAGAGGGCUUGAGUAGUGGUGGGGUGAGGCCGGCCGGCCGGCGGGCAGGCGGGUACCGGCACCGCUGGUGGCCGUAGUCGUCCCGUUCGUGCCGCGCCGCUCAGGGCGAAGUAGGACGCGACGCUGUAUAGUCGGAGCGGGAGUGGAAGGCGUAUGGGGGAGGCGGAGAGCUCCUCGCUCCACUUAUUCUCCGAGUAAUUGCACCUAACGGAAGUCACGGCAGCUGUUUAACUUCCUCCUAACGCUCUACGACCUUGUAAACAAAACAAGGGACGGAUCAACAACUUAAGACGUCGAAGCUUGGGGUGUGUGUUGGGUCUCAACAGAAGGUCCAACUUUGACUAAACGGUAGUCUCAGAACAACAUACACAGAAGAGAAGUAAGAAUUACAAAGCACAGACGAUUGGACAAGCCCUCUUAGUUGUAGAGUAUGACCAACUAACGCCAGAUGGUACCUCCGAUAUAGUGAACUUUCGACAUAACUUACACAGCAACCGUUUUAUGCGGCUGUAUUAGUCAUAGAGUCGUGCUGAACACAGAAAAUGACAGCAUAAAGAAUACACGUAGUCUCCUUUACACGAGAGAUCCGUACAGCCCGGCAUGGCUCAGGUUCUGAAUUACUUAUAUUAUAGCAGGACAGGUC
rnacentral:rRNA from 1 species